CCUUACCUGGUCUUGACAUCCACAGAACUUGCCAGAGAUGGCUUGGUGCCUUCGGGAACUGUGAGACAGGUGCUGCAUGGCUGUCGUCAGCUCGUGUUGUGAAAUGUUGGGUUAAGUCCCGCAACGAGCGCAACCCUUAUCCUUUGUUGCCAGCGGUCCGGCCGGGAACUCAAAGGAGACUGCCAGUGAUAAACUGGAGGAAGGUGGGGAUGACGUCAAGUCAUCAUGGCCCUUACGACCAGGGCUACACACGUGCUACAAUGGCGCAUACAAAGAGAAGCGACCUCGCGAGAGCAAGCGGACCUCAUAAAGUGCGUCGUAGUCCGGAUUGGAGUCUGCAACUCGACUCCAUGAAGUCGGAAUCGC
rnacentral:rRNA from 1 species